rnacentral:rRNA from 1 species
AUUGAACGCUGGCGGCAGGCCUAACACAUGCAAGUCGAGCGGUAGAGAGGUGCUUGCACCUCUUGAGAGCGGCGGACGGGUGAGUAAUACCUAGGAAUCUGCCUGGUAGUGGGGGAUAACGUUCGGAAACGGACGCUAAUACCGCAUACGUCCUACGGGAGAAAGCAGGGGACCUUCGGGCCUUGCGCUAUCAGAUGAGCCUAGGUCGGAUUAGCUAGUUGGUGAGGUAAUGGCUCACCAAGGCUACGAUCCGUAACUGGUCUGAGAGGAUGAUCAGUCACACUGGAACUGAGACACGGUCCAGACUCCUACGGGAGGCAGCAGUGGGGAAUAUUGGACAAUGGGCGAAAGCCUGAUCCAGCCAUGCCGCGUGUGUGAAGAAGGUCUUCGGAUUGUAAAGCACUUUAAGUUGGGAGGAAGGGCAUUAACCUAAUACGUUAGUGUCUGGACGUUACUCGCAGAAUAAGCACCGGCUAACUCUGAGCCAGCCGCCGCAGUAAGAC